rnacentral:sRNA from 1 species
GGCCCGGGCGCGCGGCAGGUGCGGCGGCGCAGCUCGCAGGUAGGCGACCGCUGGUCCCGCCGCUGAGGCCCCUCCACUGCCCCCCGCCCGGCACCCGCCGCCGGCACCCCCUCCAGGCCGCCGUGGCCCGCGCCAAACCUGAGUGUCUUGGUCGGGAACUCCGGUAACCCCCUCGGGGCGCGAGGCGGCAGGGCUUUAAGGAUCCCACCUUCUUUAUCACCAGCACCUGAAGGCCAGGCUGAAGCCCCCUGCUCUCAUGGCCAGCUCUGGAAAGCCUGGGGCUGAUGAGGCCCAGGAGGAGGCGGUGGAACUCGAGGGGGGCUCUGCAGAGCCGCAGGCUGCAAUGCUGGAGCAGGCUGAGGAGCUGUUUCUGCUGUGUGACAAGGAGGCUAAGGGUUUCAUCACCAGGCACGACCUGCAGGUGAGUCCCCCGCCCCGAGAGAAUGCUUCGGCCCUGGGCUGACCUCAGCGGCUCAUCUCUGCUCUCCUUCCCUGACCAGGGUCUCCAGAGCGACCUGCCCCUCACGCCAGAGCAGCUGGAGGCUGUGUUUGAAAGUCUGGACCAGGCUCACACUGGCUUCCUCACCGCCCGGGAGUUCUGCCUGGGCCUGGGUGAGCCUGAGACCUGCCUAUCCCCCACUGCCCAGAGCUGGAGGCCUGAUCAGGAGGCCUGGCACGUGUGGUGCCCUGAGGGCUGCCGGUGCCUCUCGUCCUCCUCC